CCUCUGGGUAAUCCUCAGAAGAAGCCACUUCAAAGAGGGACUGGACUAUAAAAGUGAGAUAAAAACCACCCGAAUCUACCUAUUUGUUUCUCUCUCUCUUUCACCGAAGAAGACAACGGAACCAGCCUUUUUUAGUUUGAGGGCAGAUCCUGACUUGAAAAUUUGGUCAGCUAUCUUGUUGGAAAUAUGUAGUAAGAUUUUUACCUUGAACCAAAUCUAGUUUAAGUCUUAGCUACGAGGAAGUGUUUUAUCUUUAUUUCUCUUGAGCAAGCUACCAGGGAGCUUUGCGAACAGGGGCCGCUAACACGGAGUUUCAAAUGGGCGUUCUCCAGGUGAAGGAGGAGCAAAUACGGGACUCUUGGGGGAUGGCUUCAAGGAUGGCAAGAGAUGGCAGUGGAAGAGAAAGGAGUAUUUCCAAUUUUUCGAUCAGACACGAAGAAAAAUUAUGUGAAAAAAUGGAUGUGAAGAUAUAAAUGGUGAUAACAUAAAAACAGUCUAUGAAUAGAGAAGAUGUACUUGUUCAUGAGAGAAUUAUGAAUGUUUUAUGGCAUACCAGGCAAAAAGAGUUUAUGGAAGAACCUGG